rnacentral:rRNA from 1 species
GAUGAACGCUAGCGACAGGCUUAACACAUGCAAGUCGAGGGGCAGCGGGGGCGAAGCUUGCUUCGCCUGCCGGCGACCGGCGCACGGGUGAGUAACACGUAUGCGACCUGCCCUCCGCAGGGGGAUAACCGGGAGAAAUCCCGACUAAUACCGCGUAACGCCGCGGGGCUGCAUGGCUCCGCGGCCAAAGGAAGCGAUUCCGGCGGGGGAUGGGCAUGCGGCGCAGUAGCUAGUCGGCGGGGUAACGGCCCACCGAGGCGACGAUGCGUAGGGGUUCUGAGAGGAAGGUCCCCCACACUGGUACUGAGACACGGACCAG